rnacentral:rRNA from 1 species
UACGGGGGUGAGCGAGCGUUGUCCGGAAUCACUGGGCGUAAAGGGCGCGUAGGUGGUUUGAUAAGGGUGUGGUGAAAGUCCGGGGCUCAACCCCGGAUCUGCCGUGCCGACUGUCAAACUCGAGGACUGUAGAGGCAGACGGAAUUCCGGGUGUAGCGGUGGAAUGCGUAGAGAUCCGGAGGAAGACCGGUGGCGAAGGCGAGUCCCUGGACAUCUCCUGACACUGAGGCACGAAAGCUAGGGGAGCAAACAGG